GCCCGGAUAGCUCAGUCGGUAGAGCAUGAGACUCUUAAUCUCAGGGUCGUGGGUUCGUGCCCCACAUUGGCCA
rnacentral:tRNA from 1 species